rnacentral:lncRNA from 1 species
UUUUAUUUUGUUGAUUGUUUCCUUUGCUCUGCAGAAACUUUUAGUUUGAUAUAAUCCCAUUUGUCUUUUCUUGCUUUUGCUGUCUGGGCUUCUGCUGUCACACCUGUAUUUUUGUUUUUGUUUUUGUACCAGAGAAAGUGAAGCAACAAAUGAGGAACAUGAGAACACUGGAGUAGAAAGCUGGGUGGGCAUCAGACAGCUGACCAAAAUUUUCACUAUCAAAAUGGCAGAAGUUACCUUUGGGAAUUGCCUUCGGAGUGUUUAUGAGCUGCAAAAGAACAUCAAUUAGUCUUAUUACUUUACAGUUUUCUCUGUCUAUGUAGGGUAAAAACAUUAUAUAUCCAUAUAAAAUAUAUAUCAUUAAAACUUAGCCUGUUGGACAUUUCUUUUUUUAUUUUUAAUUGUAACUUUUGUGGGUACAUGGUGUACAUAUUCAUGGAAUGCAUGAGAUGUUUUGAUACAGGUGUGCAAUGUGUGAUAAUCACAACAUGGAGAAUGGGGUAUCUAUCCCCUCAAGCAUUUAUACUUUGUAUUAUAAACAAUCCAAUUAUACUCUUUUAGUUAUUUUUUAAUGUACGAUUCAAUUAUGAUUGACUAUAGUCACCCUGUUGUGCUAUCAAAUACUAGGUCUUAUUCAGUCUUUCUAAAUUUUUGGUACCCAUUAACCAUUCCCACCCCUCUGCCCUUCCACCACUCUUUCCAGCCAGUUGGACAUUUCUUUUAUAAACUGAAGUAUGUGGCGAAUGACUUUUAACCAUUUCCGAAAAUCAAACACGAUGUAAAAAUAUUACACUUGUGGACUCAGAAUACCAAAAAUAUGUGUUUCCAGCCCUGAUGGCAAUCUUCAAAGAGGGAUUGCAGCAUACCUGGAGUAGCCACAGCACCGUUGUCAGCACUGAGCCCACACAAGUGACUGUUGACACAGGGACCGUAUUCUGUGUAUAUCUAUGUUCUGAGAAUAUUUUGUUGUUGUGGUGGUGGUUGGAAAAGCUUUUAUAUGACAGUUUAUGGCUCACAGUGGUGUCUGGCUGGUGGCCUUCAAUGCAAUGACUCAUAAGAACCUCUCCUUCAGUCACCCUUGAAGACCCAACAAAGCUGGGGAAAGGAGGGGAAUUUCCCGAUACCAUUGACAAUGAAGAUGGACAAGCUAACGGCAGAACCUCAGAAGGAUCUGACUUCAGAUAUGCACGCAGCGUACCCUGGCUUCAUUUCACAAAAACAGUACCCUUUUGCAAAGGGAGGAAGUGACUUUCUCAUGACCCGAACCAGAAAAUAGGCAGCCACGGGACUCUAUGCACUGAUUCCACCUUGGGGAGCAGGCAGAACAUGUCCCCUUUGUGACCACGUUCACUGGCAUCUUUCUGGAUCCAGAUAGAGUGCAAAACUUAGAAACAGCUGAGUGGUACGCAGAGGGGGUACAGGUACAGAUCAUACCGUGCAGGCAGGUAUGACCCUACAAUAAACUGCCCAAGAUAUGUGUUGUA